rnacentral:rRNA from 1 species
UACGUAGGGGGCGAGCGUUGUCCGGAUUUAUUGGGCGUAAAGAGCGUGUAGGCGGCCAAGUAAGUCCGGUGUGAAAACUCGAGGCUUAACCUCGAGAUGUCAUCGGAAACUAUUUGGCUAGAGUCCGGAAGAGGAGAGUGGAAUUCCUGGUGUAGCGGUGAAAUGCGCAGAUAUCAGGAAGAACACCGAUGGCGAAAGCAGCUCUCUGGGACGGUACUGACGCUGAGGCGCGAAAGCGUGGGGAGCGAACAGG